UCUGGUUGAUCCUGCCUGAACUGAUGUGUUUAUUUUUCAAAGAUUAAGCCAUGCAUGUAUAAGUUUAAUCGUUUAUCGAGAAACCGCGAAACGGCUCAUUACAAUGGCCAUUAUUUACUUGAUCUUGAUUGUCUAAAUGGAUAACUGUGGAAAAGCUAGAGCUAAUACAUGCACUAAAGCUUUGUCCUUACGGAAAAGCGCAUUUAUUAGAACAAAACCACGCGGCUUCGGCUGCUUCUGUUGACUCAGAAUAACUUAGCUGACCGCAUGGCCUUGUGCCGGCGGCGUGUCUUUCAAGCGUCCACUUUAUCAACUUGACGGGAGCAUAAUCGACUCCCGUGGUGGUGACGGAUAACGGAGGAUCAGGGUUCGACUCCGGAGAAGGGGCCUGAGAAAUGGCCACUACGUCUAAGGAUGGCAGCAGGCGCGCAAAUUACCCACUCUCGGCUCCAGGAGGUAGUGACGAGAAAUAACGAGACUGUUCUCUUUGAGGCCGGUCAUCGGAAUGGGUACAAUUUAAACCCUUUAACGAGUAUCAAGGCAGAGGGCAAAGUCUGGUGCCAGCAGCCGCGGUAAUUCCAGCUCUGCAAAUACAUAGAAUUAUUGCUGCGGUUAGAAAGCUCAUAGUUGGAUUCGUAUCGAUACCUGGAACCCUUCGGGUGUCUCUAGGUGUUAUCGAUUUAUCGUAAUGUUCGGUUUUGAGUCCUUAACAGGAUUCUUAACAGGCAUUGCAAAGUUUACUUUGAACAAAUCAGAGUGCUUCAAACAGGCGUUUUCGCUUGAAUGAUCGUGCAUGGAAUAAUAGAAAAUGAUUUCGGUUCAGUUUUAUUGGUUUUACGGACUGAGAUAAUGGUUAACAGAGACAAACGGGGCAUUUGUAUGGUCCCGUGAGAGGUGAAAUUCUUGGACCGUGGCCAGACAAACUACAGCGAAAGCAUUUGCCAAAGAAUGUUUUUUAUUAAUCAAGAACGAAAGUCUUCCGGUUCCGGGGGAAGUAUGGUUGCAAAGCUGAAACUUAAGGGAAUUGACGGAAGGGCACCACCAGGAGUGGAGCCUGCGGCUUAAUUUGACUCAACACGGGGAAACUCACCCGGCCCGGACACUGUGAGGAUGACAGAUUGAUAGCUUUUUCAUGAUUCAGUGGAUGUGGUGCAUGGCCGUUCUUAGUUCGUGGAGUGAUUUGUCUGGUUUAUUCCGACCAGACAAAUGGUGGACUUUGCUCGUGGCUGCUUGAGCUUCCUUACGGGGCGGCGCUUGUGACUAGUAGUGAGGACUGCUUGUGGAGUGCUUCAGCUGCGUGCUAUUUCGCAAGAUAUAGUACUUCGAUUGGCGCUGAACAACCAGUUUAGAACUGGCACGAACUCCGGGAAUCCGACUGUCUAAUUAAACAGAGGAGACGGAUGGUCCUUGCAGGACGUUGACCGUGUCUGAUUUCUGCCCAGUGCUCUGAAUGUUAAGCCAAGGAAACUUGAUUAAGCGCGGGUAAACGCGGGAGUAACUAUGACUCUCUUAAGGUAGCCAAAUGCCUCGUCGGCUAACUACCGACGGCGCACGAAUGGAUCAACGAGAUUCCCACUGUCCCUAUCUACUAUCUAGCGAAACCACAGCCAAGGGAACGGGCUUGGCAAAUUUAGCGGGAAAGAAGACCCUGUUGAGCUUGACUCUAGUCUGACUUUGUGAAGAAU
rnacentral:rRNA from 1 species